CGAGGAAACCGAAGCUGUGGGCCAGCGCGUCGUGGGGGAGAGUCGGGAGGGGAGAAGCCCCGAAGCCGUCCCUACGCCGCUUCGUGCUCGGGCUCUUCCGGCCGGCGGCAUGGACAGCGCCGUCCUCGCUUGCGAGGCGACAGCCGCCGCGGCCGCGCCUGGGGCGGGAGGGGGCGGAGGAGUCGGGGACGUGGUGAGGUUGAAGCGGUCGGCGCUCGCGGCGUGCCUCACGUGCCCGCUCUGCGGCCGCCUCCUCCGCGACGCCGCCACCGUCAUCGAGUGCCUCCACACCUGUGGAAUUGAGGUGAUAUGAGCGGUCGAUUGCAUGAACAGUGGCGGGUUCUGCCUAUAUACGCCGUGAUCCAUGAGAAAUCACAUAGCUUCUGCUUUUACCAGGAGGAUGUACUAGUUUGCAGGAAGUGCAUAUUGGAAGAGUUCGUAAAUAAGGAGUCUGCUGCUGCCCUAUUUGUAGCAUUGAUUUGGGCUGUGCUCCGUUAAAGAAACUCAGGUACCCCUUUUGAGUUAUGGCAUCAGUAUUGAGUAAGCUAGUGCGAGUGUGCAACAUUGCACAACACAUGCACCAAAUCUGGAAGAAUAUUUUAUUGAACACCUCCCCUCCCUGGUAUUCAGAAAAUUGAUCAUAGUCUACAAUAUGUAAGGUCAAAGAUAUUUCCUAAGAAGCAAAAGGUUGAGGGCCCAGAAGUCAAAUCAUCAGUUGCAUCACCUAUCAAGAGGAAAGAACAAUCUUUAUUUUCAUUGACGAUUCCUGCUCCUCGAGUGUCUAUGCAAAAAUGCUUGACAAAGAGGAGAACAAAAGCUUCAUGUUUAAACCUCUCUUUGUGGACCCCAGAGCAGCGUGAGCAAUACCUAGGAGAGGAUGAUGCACUCCGCCAGGCAGAGGUUCAGGCAGGACUCGUGGGCAUCCAGACCAUACUUCACGGUGAUGAUCUAUCUAAGGAUGACUCAUCCGAUGCUGACUUCGUUAUUCCAGAUGUCACACCUUUCAGACGCACUCACGACGAUGAGGUAGGUGGCUCUGGUUCAGCAGCACCUCAGGCUACUCAGACUCCUCCAGCUCCAUUGGCUCAGUCCCCAGUGCCUGAUCUUGCCUCACAGCUAGCAGUCUUAACUGAUCUUGCCUCACAGCUAGCAGUCAUUAAGACGAUGGAAAAUAAAACUCAACAGAUGCACCAGGCUUAUCUUGUAGAGUCGCAGAAGGCAGAGGAUAGGUUUUGGGUUAUGCUUGAGCACCAGAAGAGAUUGCUUGAGACCAUUGAGCAGCAGCAGCGCCGGUUAGACUACUACUUUCAGUACAUGUUUCAUGGCGUUCCUGUCCCUCCUCCACUACCUGCCCAGACCGUUCCUCUUGCACAGCUUCAGAGUCCGGUAGUGCCUCCGCUGAUAUUUCCAGUAGCUACACCAAGAGUUAUUCCUCAGAUACCGCAGCCAGCUGCUUCCGUGCCAUACUCACUUGGCACUUGCGCAGCUGGAUGUUUCGAUGUCGUUUCGCUCUCGCACAUCAGCGCUACUAGGACAGGAUGCCACUACUUCGACACCAGCAGCGUCUGUCUCAGUGCCAGCGUCAGCUGGUGGGCUCGCCUAGUAUUCUGUCACUCGCCAGCUCGGUUUUACCUAUAGCGAGCUUACUGGUCUGGCUACUCCAUCACUAUCAGCUUCAGCACAGAUGGAUGCCGAGCAGACUGCAGCUUAGACACGUGCCCAUACUUCAGCACCAACAAUUCUGCAAGUUCCAGAUAUGGGAUUCUCAGUUGCACCGGUUCUUACAGCUACAGCAGUUACCACUGAGUCCGUCCCAUGUGUUAUAGCUCCCGUCGCACCCUCAACGUCCCAGUCCAUUGAGCAGUCCUCCACAGAGUCAGAUCCAGUGAUGGUUGCUCUUCGUGACAUGACUCCGUCUCCCAAGGACACUCCUGCAUCUCCUCCAGCUUCUGGCGCCUAGAGUUUUUGAUGCUUGACGCAAAAGGGGGAGAGAGUAGAGAGAUAGAGUCAGGGGGAGCUUCUGGUAGCUAGGCUUUUGGAUCUUAGAUGUGCCACUCUCAUGCAUCAUAUUUACUUUUGUGCACUUGUAUAUAUUGCCGUAUAUACUGCCUGCUACCGUGUUUGACAUGUGUUUGCGCCUAAUCCAUAUCAUUUGCCAUGUCUUUUGAUAAUUGCUUAUGUGUUUGAUCGCUUGUAUCUUUAUUCAUACGUGUUGUUGCAUUUGACUUGCAUGAACUUGGCUAACACUUUUCUCCUAUUUGGAACAAGUUCAUGCACUUCAAGUA